GGCUUUAUAGUCAAUUAUCACAUUAGACUGCAAUUCUAAAGGAGUGUUUUUAUACUAAGGCUU
rnacentral:tRNA from 1 species